CGACACUGUUUUUAGAUUACCGUCUGUGCAGCAGGCAGUUCCCAGCGUGUGUCCUUUCUAACAGCCAUUGCAGUGGAUGUUUAUUACAGCUGUAAACAUGAAGUCUUGUUUUUUUCUUUUCGUGUUGAUCGUUUUUGUGGCCGUAGCCAGCGCUGUGCUACCGGCAGAGGGCGGUAAAACCUGCCAGCAUGAAUGCACACAGCACUCGGACUGCCCCCCGGACUACCAGUGCAAGGAAGUCGACUGUUCGUCCCUUUGCUCUCCCGCCUUUUUCGACUCCAGUCGUCUGUGUCUGCAGACGCCACUGUGCCGGAUGUACUGCCACUGGGGAUACGUGAAAGACCAAAAUGGCUGUGCUCUGUGUAAAUGCAAUUUACCCCCUGAAGAAGAAAGAUAUUAAUUACACUUUCGAUCGGAAAGAUUAGACCAAAAUGUGUAUUAUCCUUAACCCCUUCAUUGCUGAAAUAUUUCCAUCUUCGUUUAUACAGACAAGAUAAAAAUAUUAUGUUCUUUCAGGAGGCAUUUAGACAAAGCCAUACUAUCUUCCCCCCUUAUUACAAAAUAAACAACAACAGCAGGCCGUUGUUAAAUAAUAAUCUCCGAAAACUCCCCUUAUAACUCAGUCCUAAUAUGGCUCAAAACCAGCUUUGGGGAACACAAGCGACACAGCAAUGAAGAGGUUGAUACGACCAAGAAUAGCAACACUCUCUAAAGGAGCGAGAUGGAAAUUCCCAGAUAAUUGAAAGCCUCUCAACGGUAGACAAAACAAAUACAGCAACUACGAAAAUCCACUUUUUAAUUAAAAAUACUUAUUUAGAACAACUGUGCAUCGGUUUACUUUCUUACAACUAAUGUUUUGACAUGCUGACUACUAAUAAAAACGAAUGGCUGUGCCUUCUCUUGA